AGAUGGCUAAAACGAUACAACGACGGAGAAGGAUUGAAAAGCCACCCUAGAUCUGGGAGACCCCGCUGCACAACCGCAGAAGAAGACGAAGUGUUAAUUAACUUUAUAACCAAACACCCGUUUUCGUCAUCAUUUUCAGUGAAACGAGAAACAAAUAUACAAACAUCAGUUGACACUGUAAGACGUCGGUUUCGAGAAGCUGGUCUUCUAUGUAGGAAACCUGCGCUCAAGCCUCUACUUACACAGACGCAUAUGGACCAUCGUCUCGGGUUUGCGCUCGAAUAUCUGUCCAAGAGCGAGCAGUUUUGGGAAACUUAUAUUUUGUGACGAGAAGACUUUUUGCAACGACCAACAGGGAAGACUGCACUGCUGGCGUCCAGGAAAAACCAGAUUUGAGGAUAAAUAUGUAGAACCAAAUCGACGAAGUGGGAGGAUAACCGCUGGCCUUUGGGGUUGGAUGGCGUCUUGCGGACCAGGUGCUUUAGUGCCAAUCCAUGAGCGAUUAAAUGGCAGGCAGUAUGUUGACAUUCUUGACGAGGUGCUGAUUCCAUCUGUUAGGAUGCUACUGAUUCCGGAACCGUUGCCCAUAUUCUUGGCAAUGGACAACUCCUCUGUUCAUAAUAGCAUGCCAGUAAGAAAGUGGUUACAGCAGCAUCCAGAAGUUAUUCGGAUCGACUGGCCUGCAAAAUCUCCGGAUCUCAAUCCCAUUGAAAAUUUAUGGGCCAUUAUGACAAAGGAAUGGGAUGGCUCCGUUCUGAACAGUAAACAAGCCAUCAUAAGCCAUUGCUUGUCAGUGUGGGAGUCAAUGCGUGGGGAAAAUAUUUGCAGUAGACUGGUUGACAGUAUUCCUAGACGGCUUAAUUCGGUAAUAGACAACCUAGGCUCACAUACUAAAUAUUAAUUAACCCUCCCUCUCUCUCUCUCUCUCUCUCUCUCUCUCUCUCUCUCUCUCUCUCUCUCUCUCUCUCUCUCUCUCUCUCUGUAUGUAUGUGUAGCUAUAUAUGUAUGACGUGUUUUAAAAGACGAGGUUGUGUUUACUCUAUUUGUUUUGCUGGAAUUUGUAUAUUAUUUUUCACAGGGACCUAUGUAUUUCAAAGAAUUAUACGUAUUUUUUAAAAAUAAUUA